ensembl:lincRNA
ACGCCACUGUGAGUUAUAGUCUCUUAUCCUCUUUGUCACCAGAAAUGCAACCCCAACCACCAUCCCGAGGUCGCUGUCAUGGGAGCUGUGUUCCUGAUGUGCAGUGAGCACUUCAAGAGAAGACUUCUCCUGUUCUGUUUUCCCAGUGUGGGACUCCAGACAUCUCACCUCUUCUCUUCCAGGCUCCACUUGGCACUUACGGUGGCACUGGGCCUCUACUUCUCAAGGGAUGCUUACUGGGAGAAUCUGUAUGUGGAUCAGCUGGCCAGCAUGCCCUUGCUCUGUGUCCAUGCCCUGCGGGACACUCCUGGGGAGGUGCCCAGCUUCCGCCUGGGCCGGCACCUCUAUGGCACAUACCACAUGCGGCUGCACGAGAACAACUGGAUCCGCAUCCAGGAGGACACUGACCUCCUCUACCUUAACUGGAGCCUGAACCAGAGAACCUGGGAGAAGCUCAGUGUCCGCAGUAAGGGAGCUGCCCCCACUCCCAUCCCCACACCCCACCCUACCCCUUCCUCAAGCCGCCCUCAUCACAACCGCUGACACUGAGGCUCGGGGUGACUUCCCCACCACCCCUGGUGUGAAGGGCAUCAGGGUUGAGGUGAGGCUGGCCUGCCUCUGUGUCCAGCCUGGAGGGUGUGGAGGGCGUCAGGGGUG